ensembl:processed_transcript
UCUUUAGUUGUUUGAUGAAGAAGAAGAGAGGCAAGGCUGAAUUGGGACUGUUCUGGAGAAGGGGGAGCGGGGCAUACAAGGCAACUCCCCAAGAUCAAGUCUGUAAUUCCGCAACCAGUUUAGUUCAAGUUUCAACUGCCCCCAAACUGAAGCCCUCUGAAACAACCAGAAACCCACUUCCUACCUGGACUAUACCACUAGCUUCCUGAGUUACGCUGGGCAUUUAUCUCCAACCUCUGAUGUGACCUGAUGGCCUCGUGACUAGUGUUAAGUCCUUCUGGAAUGGACAAACAUACCUCUGCAUCCCAGCAGUUCAAAGGCUGUGAGUGUCAUCAGAUAACGUCUGCCGCCUAGAACAGAGGUUUCCCUUCUUCACGGGAGUCAAUCGACCUGAUGCCCCCCUCGGCCUAUUUGGAUGGAAGGUGCCUUGGUGUGUCGUUUUCCUGUAACUGUUACCACACUGGAUCAUGAUGUUUGAGAUAAUACAU